UACGAAGGGGGCUAGCGUUGUUCGGAAUUACUGGGCGUAAAGGGCGCGUAGGCGGCACGGCAAGUCAGGAGUGAAAGCCCGGGGCUCAACCCCGGAAUGUCUUUUGAAACUGCCGAGCUAGAGUGCGGAAGAGGCAACUGGAAUUCCCAGUGUAGCGGUGAAAUGCGUAGAUAUUGGGAAGAACACCUGAGGCGAAGGCGGGUUGCUGGGCCGACACUGACGCUGAGGCGCGAAAGCCAGGGGAGCGAACGGG
rnacentral:rRNA from 1 species